CAGAGGUUACUGCUAUCGAGAUUCGACUAAGCCAUGCGAGUUGAAUGUUCUUCGUGAACAUGGCGGACUGCUCAGUAACACGUGGACAACCUACCCUUGGGUCCGGCAUAAUCCUGGGAAACUGGGAAUAAUUCCGGAUAGGUCACCGAUGCUGGAAUGCGCGGUGGCCGAAAGCUCCGGCGCCCGAGGAUGGGUCUGCGGCCUAUCAGGGUUGUAGUGGGUGUAACGUACCUACUAGCCUACGACGGGUACGGGUUGUGAGAGCAAGAGCCCGGAGAUGGAUUCUGAGACACGAAUCCAGGCCCUACGGGGUGCAGCAGGCGCGAAAACUUUACAAUGCGGGAAACCGUGAUAAGGGGAUCUCGAGUGCCAGCAUAUAAUGUUGGCUGUCCAGAUGCCUAAAAAGCAUCUGUUAGCAAGGGCCGGGCAAGACCGGUGCCAGCCGCCGCGGUAACACCGGCGGCCCGAGUGGUAACCGCUAUUAUUGGGUCUAAAGGGUCUGUAGCCGGCCAGGUAAGUCCCUUGGGAAAUCUGGCAGCUCAACUGUCAGGCUGCUAGGGGAUACUGUUUGGCUUGGGACCGGGAGAGGUGAGAGGUACCUUGGGGGUAGGGGUGAAAUCUUGUGAUCCUCGAGGGACCACCAGUGGCGAAGGCGUCUCACCAGAACGGGUCCGACGGUAAGGGACGAAAGCUAGGGGCACGAACCGGAUUAGAUACCCGGGUAGUCCUAGCCGUAAACGAUGCUCGCUAGGUGUCAGUCACGGUGCGACCGUGAUUGGUGCCGUAGGGAAGCCGUGAAGCGAGCCACCUGGGAAGUAUGGCCGCAAGGCUGAAACUUAAAGGAAUUGGCGGGGGAGCACUACAWCGGGUGGAGCCUGCGGUUUAUUG
rnacentral:rRNA from 1 species